CAUACCAAAAUAUAUAUUAUAGUUACUUCAAGACACAAAAAACCAUAUUUUUACACAAGCUAAUUAAGUUUUUUACAUCUCCAAAAAGCCUAUCAAGACCUAACCAAAGUCUUUGCAAAGAAAGAUACGAUUAACUUCUAAAAGAAGCUUCUAAAAAUGUUUCUUUUCAGACCAGUGUUCUCUCUUAAAAGUCAAGUUAAUCUUCAAUCUGUUUUACUUCAGUUAAUUAUAAAUUAUCUGAGAAUAAUAAUACAGUUCUACCUCCUUAUUUACCAGGUGAACAUAAAGUGAUUACUUAACAAUGCCUUGUAUUUAUAUAGCUGUGUGUUCUUAUACAUCACUUAAUUUUCUCUUAAUAAAAAUUAGGAGACAAACAACAUAUGUAGCAUAUGGAUACUUUACACUUAAAGAAGCAUCUGUAUAAAAGUAACUUGUCCUAAAUCACAUGGGUAAUAAAUGACCAAAUGGCCUUUUGACAACUAGAGUCCAAAGUUCUACCAUAUACCAACUUGUCUUCUUUUUGUAUUAAAAAGUGGGAAAAUAAUUUCAUUUGUGAAUAUUUACUCAAAGAAAAGAACAAAUGUGUAAAUGG